AGCAGCCGCGGUAAUUCCAGCUCCAAUAGCGUAUAUUAAAGUUGUUGCAGUUAAAAGCUCGUAGUUGAACUUCGGGAUUUGUUCGUUGGUCAGGCUUCACUGUCUGUACUGGUGUUACGAAUUCCUACCUUCUGAUGAAUCUUCAUGCCAUUCACUUGGUGCGGAGGGGAAUCAGGACUGUUACUUUGAAAAAUUGAGUGUUUAAAGCAGGCUAUUGCUCGAAUAUAUUAGCAUGGAAUAAUAAAAUAGGACGGUUGGUUCUAUUUUGUUGGUUUCUAGGAUCACCGUAAUGAUUAAUAGGGAUAGUUGGGGGCAUUAGUAUUCAAUUGUCAGAGGUGAAAUUCUUGGAUUUAUUGAAGACUAACUACUGCGAAAGCAUUUGCCAAGGAUGUUUUCAUUAAUCAAGAACGAAAGUUAGGGAUCGAAGACGAUCAGAUACCGUCGUAGUC
rnacentral:rRNA from 1 species